AGGAUGUUGGCUUAGAAGCAGCCACUCAUUCAAAGAGUGCGUAAUAGCUCACUGGUCGAGUGAUCCUGCGCCGAAGAUUUCCGGGGCUAAAACUUACUACCGAAGCUACGGCAUCAGUAAUGAUGGGGAGGGGAGCUUCCCAUACGGGUUGAAGCAUGACCGUAAGGACAUGUGGACAGUAUGGGAGUGAGAAUGUUGGCAUGAGUAGCGAGAUGUGGGUG
rnacentral:rRNA from 1 species